rnacentral:tRNA from 1 species
UCCCAUGUGGUCUAGUGGUUAAGACUCUGCUUCCAGUGCCGGGGGCACAGGUUCAAUUCCUGGUCUGGGAA